rnacentral:rRNA from 1 species
CCAGACUCCUACGGGAGGCAGCAGUGAGGAAUAUUGGUCAAUGGGCGGGAGCCUGAACCAGCCAUGCCGCGUGAAGGCGAGUGCCCUACGGGCGUUAAACUUCUUUUGUGCGGGAGCAAUAAGGGCCACGCGUGGCCCGAUGAGAGUACCGCACGAAUAAGCAUCGGCUAACUCCGUGCCAGCAGCCGCGGUAAUACGGGGGAUGCGAGCGUUAUCCGGAUUUAUUGGGUUUAAAGGGUGCGUAGGCGGGACGGUAAGUCAGCGGUAAAAAUGCGGAGCUCAACUCCGUCGAGCCGUAGAAACUGCCGUUCUUGAGUGAGCGAGAAGUAUGCGGAAUGCGUGGUGUAGCGGUGAAAUGCAUAGAUAUCACGCAGAACUCCGAUUGCGAAGGCAGCAUACCGGCGCUCAACUGACGCUGAAGCACGAAGGCGUGGGUAUCGAACAGGAUAGAUACCCUAGUA